GGGCAUGUGGCGGAACGGUUUACGCGCACGACUCAAAAUCGUGUGGGUUUAUCCCAUGUGGGUUCGAAUCCCACCAUGCCCA
rnacentral:tRNA from 1 species